UACGGGGGGGGCGAGCGUUGUUCGGAAUUACUGGGCGUAAAGGGCGCGUAGGCGGUCUGCUAAGUUGGAUGUGAAAACUCUGGGCUUAACCCAGAGCCUGCAUUCAAUACUGACAGGCUAGAGUUCUGGAGGGGAUAGCGGAAUUCCUGGUGUAGCGGUGAAAUGCGCAGAUAUCAGGAAGAACACCAAUGGCGAAGGCAGCUCUCUGGGACGGUACUGGACGCUGAGACGCGAAAGCCGUGGGGAGCGAACAGG
rnacentral:rRNA from 1 species